rnacentral:lncRNA from 1 species
AAUUAAUGUUAAGCAUGUUAUUUCUAUGUAUUUAGCAGAUAUAUUUUUACUCCGGUAGAUUAAUCAAUGAGUGAUAGAUUUCUCUUAGAACAUAUAGAAGAAAUUUAAAGGUCCUGGUGACUAAACUAUACAGAGAACAGUACCUGUUGUAUUUGUUAGAUGGGACAAUAGAACUGUCAAAAGUUAAAAUGGACAGGUAACUAUCAGGUGAAUCUAUGGACAGGUACAAUUGGGUUCGCAAUAAUACAGAUCGGCAUUACUACUUGUAAUUGUUACGUAAGUGGUGCAUUAAUUUUACCAGUCAUUUAUCUUUGUUUAGUGUUUAAAGUGUUUAAUGUUAAAAGACAGUAUUGAAUAAAGAGCAUUCCUCCCCUUAAUUUCACUAUUUGCUGUAUGGAAUAAUUGCAAGGUAUACAUGUAUA